rnacentral:rRNA from 1 species
UACGGAGGGUGCAAGCGUUAGUCGGAUUUACUGGGCGUAAAGGGUGCGUAGGCGGGUGUGUAAGUCAGACGUGAAAUUCCGAAGCUCAACUUCGGAGCUGCAUCUGAAACUGCACAUCUAGCGGAAUGGCGGAGAAAACGGAAUUCCACGUGUAGCGGUGAAAUGCGUAGAUAUGUGGAAGAACACCUGUGGCGAAAGCGGUUUUCUAGCCUACUCCGGACGCUGAGGCACGAAAGCAAGGGGAUCAAACAGG